UACGUAGGGUGCGAGCGUUAAUCGGAAUUACUGGGCGUAAAGCGUGCGCAGGCGGUUUUGUAAGCCAGAUGUGAAAUCCCCGGGCUCAACCUGGGAAUGGCAUUUGGGACUGCAAGGCUGGAGUGUGGCAGAGGAGACUGGAAUUCCUGGUGUAGCAGUGAAAUGCGUAGAUAUCAGGAGGAAUACCGAUGGCGAAGGCAGGUCUCUGGGCUGACACUGACGCUCAUGCACGAAAGCGUGGGGAGCAACAGG
rnacentral:rRNA from 1 species